GACGGAGGAUGCAAGCGUUAUCCGGAAUUAUUGGGCGUAAAGCGUCCGCAGGUGGGUUUACAAGUCUGCUGUCAAAGUGCAGAGCUUAACUCUGUAAAGGCGGUGGAAACUGUAGGUCUUGAGUAUGGUAGGGGUAGAGGGAAUUCCCGGUGUAGCGGUGAAAUGCGUAGAUAUCGGGAAGAACACCAGUGGCGAAAGCGCUCUACUGGGCCAUAACUGACACUGAGGGACGAAAGCUAGGGGAGCGAAAGGG
rnacentral:rRNA from 1 species